rnacentral:rRNA from 1 species
UACAGAGGUCCCAAGCGUUGUUCAGAUUCAUUGGGCGUAAAGGGUGCGUAGGUGGCGUCGUAAGUCGGGUGUGAAAUCUCGGGGCUUAACUCCGAAACUGCAUUCGAUACUGCGGUGCUUGAGGACUGGAGAGGAGACUGGAAUUUACGGUGUAGCAGUGAAAUGCGUAGAGAUCGUAAGGAAGACCAGUGGCGAAGGCGGGUCUCUGGACAGUUCCUGACACUGAGGCACGAAGGCCAGGGGAGCAAACGGG